rnacentral:rRNA from 1 species
UACGUAGGUGGCGAGCGUUGUCCGGAAUCAUUGGGCGUAAAGAGCGCGUAGGCGGCUUUCCAGGUCCGACGUGAAAUCUCGGGGCUCAACCCCGAACGUGCAUCGGAAACCGGAUUGCUAGAGUCUGGGAGAGGAGAGUGGAAUUCCUGGUGUAGCGGUGAAAUGCGCAGAUAUCAGGAGGAACACCGGUAGCGAAGGCGGCUCUCUGGAACAGUACUGACGCUGAGGCGCGAAAGCUAGGGGAGCAAACAGG